rnacentral:tRNA from 1 species
AACAAGAUGGCUGAAUAUCUAAGCAAAAGACUGUAAAUCUUAUAAUGGGCUCUUCCCCUCUUGUUA